AUGGAGAUGUCGUGGAGAAUAGUCUGGCCAUUCCUGGCGGUGUCUGCUGUCUUGUCUCUUCAGAUGGCUGGCAACAUACUGGAUAUCCCCAACUUAUCAUUUGUCCUAUCCAUUGCUAGAACUAUAGGCAACUGCAGUUUUACACUCAGACUCACCUUGCAGUUUGACAUGUUGGAACAGGAGACUAGAUGGAACAUGAAUCUAACCUUCAUGGAGAUGUCGUGGAGAAUAGUCUGGCCAUUCCUGGCGGUGUCUGCUGUCUUGUCUCUUCAGAUGGCUGGCAACAUACUGGAUAUCCCCAACUUAUCAUUUGUCCUAUCCAUUGCUAGAACUAUAGGCAACUGCAGUUUUACACUCAGACUCACCUUGCAGUUUGACAUGUUGGAACAGGAGACUAGAUGGAACAUGAAUCUAACCUUCAUGGAGAUGUCGUGGAGAAUAGUCUGGCCAUUCCUGGC